rnacentral:rRNA from 1 species
UACGUAGGCAGCGAGCGUUGUUCGGAAUUACUGGGCGUAAAGAGUGUGUAGGCGGUGCUCUAAGUUUGGUGUGAAAUCUCCCGGCUCAACUGGGAGGGUGCAUCGAAAACUGGAAUGCUAGAGGGUGGGAGAGGUAAGCGGAAUUCCUGGUGUAGCGGUGAAAUGCGUAGAUAUUCGCAAGAACACCAAUUGCGAAGGCAGCUCACUACACGAAUAUUGACACUGAGGCACGAAAGCGUGGGGAUCAAACAGG